rnacentral:rRNA from 1 species
UUCCCUACGGGGGGCAGCAGUGGGGAAUAUUGGGCAAUGGGGGAAACCCUGACCCAGCGACGCCGCGUGAGGGAAGAAGGUUUUCGGAUUGUAAACCUCUGUCCUUGGUGACGAUAAUGACGGUAGCCAAGGAGGAAGCCACGGCUAACUACGUGCCAGCAGCCGCGGUAAUACGUAGGUGGCGAGCGUUGUCCGGAAUUACUGGGUGUAAAGGGAGCGUAGGCGGUAAGGCAAGUCUGAUGUGAAAGGCCAGGGCUCAACCCUGGGACUGCAUUGGAAACUGUUUAACUGGAGUGUCGGAGAGG